rnacentral:SRP_RNA from 1 species
GCUGGGCAUGGUGGUGCAUGCUUGUAAUCCCAGCUACUUGGGAAGCUGAGGCAGGAGAAUUGCUUGAGCCCAGGAGGCAGAGGUUGCAGUGAGCUGAGAUUGCGCCACUGCACUCCAGCCUGGGCAACAGCGAGACUCUGUCUCAA